rnacentral:rRNA from 1 species
GACGAACGCUGGCGGCGUGCUUAACACAUGCAAGUCGAGCGGAAAGGCCACUUCGGUGGUACUCGAGCGGCGAACGGGUGAGUAACACGUGAGUAAUCUGCCCCCCACUUUGGGAUAGCCACCGGAAACGGUGAUUAAUACCGGAUAUGACCCUUGACCGCAUGGUUGCGGGUGGAAAGUUUUUCGGUGGGGGAUGUGCUCGCGGUCUAUCAGCUUGAUGGUGGGGUAAUGGCCUACCAUGGCUUCGACGGGUAGCCGGCCUGAGAGGGUGACCGGCCACACUGGGACUGAGACACGGCCCAGACUCCUACGGGAGGCAGCAGUGGGGAAUAUUGGACAAUGGGCGGAAGCCUGAUCCAGCAACGCCGCGUGAGGGAUGACGGCCUUCGGGUUGUAAACCUCUUUCAGUACCGACGAAGCGAAAGUGACGGUAGGUACAGAAGAAGCACCGGCCAACUACGUGCCAGCAGCCGCGGUAA